rnacentral:rRNA from 1 species
AAUGAAUGUUGGCGGCGUGGAUUAGGCAUGCAAGUCGAGCGAGAACCCAGCAAUGGGGGACAGCGGCGAAAGGGACAGUAAUGUGUAGAUUAUCUGCCCUCGGGUCCGGGAUAGCUGCGGGAAACUGCAGGUAAUACCGGAUAACAUCUCCGGAUCAGAGGUGUGAUUCCGCCCGAGGAUGAGUCUGCAUCCUAUUAGCUAGUUGGUAGGGUAAUGGCCCACCAAGGCUUUGAUGGGUAGCAGGUGUGAGAGCACGACCUGCGUCAUUGGGACUGAGACACUGCCCAGACACCUACGGGUGGCUGCAGUCGAGGAUCUUCGGCAAUGGGCGCAAGCCUGACCGAGCGACGCCGCGUGUGGGAUGAAGGCCUUCGGGUUGUAAGCCACUGUCAGAGGGGAUGAAAUGCAGGUGGGUUCUCCCAUCUGUUUGACAUAGCCUCAGAGGAAGGACGGGCUAAGUUCGUGCCAGCAGCCGCGGUAAUAC